rnacentral:rRNA from 1 species
GAUUAACGCUGGCGGCGUGCAUAACACAUGCAAGUCGAACGAUGAAACUUUAAUGAACCCUUCGGGGAGAAUUAAAGCGGAUUAGUGGCGAACGGGUGAGUAACGCGUGAGUAACCUGCCUUACACAAGGGGAUAGCCUUUGGAAACGAAGAAUAAUACCCUAUAAAACCAUAAAAGCACAUGCAAUUAUGGUCAAAGUGAUAGCGGUGUAAGAUGGACUUGCGUCUGAUUAGCUAGUUGGUGAGAUAAAAGCCCACCAAGGCAACGAUCAGUAGCCGGCUUGAGAGAGUGUACGGCCACAUUGGGACUGAGACACGGCCCAGACUCCUACGGGAGGCAGCAGUGGGGAAUUUUGCACAAUGGGGGAAACCCUGAUGCAGCGACGCCGCGUGAUUUAGAAGGCCUUCGGGUUGUAAAAAUCUUUUGUAUAGGAAGAAAAUGACAGUACUAUACGAAUAAGGUCCGGCUAAUUACGUG